CAAGUCGAGCGAACAGAAAAGGAGCUUGCUCCUUUGACGUUAGCGGCGGACGGGUGAGUAACACGUGGGCAACCUACCCUAUAGUUUGGGAUAACUCCGGGAAACCGGGGCUAAUACCGAAUAAUCUCUUUUGCUUCAUGGUGAAAGACUGAAAGACGGUUUCGGCUGUCGCUAUAGGAUGGGCCCGCGGCGCAUUAGCUAGUUGGUGAGGUAACGGCUCACCAAGGCGACGAUGCGUAGCCGACCUGAGAGGGUGAUCGGCCACACUGGGACUGAGACACGGCCCAGACUCCUACGGGAGGCAGCAGUAGGGAAUCUUCCACAAUGGGCGAAAGCCUGAUGGAGCAACGCCGCGUGAGUGAAGAAGGUUUUCGGAUCGUAAAACUCUGUUGUAAGGGAAGAACAAGUACAGUAGUAACUGGCUGUACCUUGACGGUACCUUAUUAGAAAGCCACGGCUAACUACGUGCCAGCAG
rnacentral:rRNA from 1 species